UACAGAGGUCUCAAGCGUUGUUCGGAUUCAUUGGGCGUAAAGGGUGCGUAGGCGGCGCGGUAAGUCGGGUGUGAAAUCUCGGGGCUUAACUCCGAAACUGCAUUCGAUACUACCGUGCUUGAGGACUGGAGAGGAGACUGGAAUUUACGGUGUAGCGGUGAAAUGCGUAGAUAUCGUAAGGAAGACCAGUGGCGAAGGCGGGUCUCUGGGCCGUAACUGACGCUGAGGAGCGAAAGCGUGGGGAGCGAACAGG
rnacentral:rRNA from 1 species